UUCCGUAGGUGAACCUGCGGAAGGAUCAUUAAUGAAACUUUCAAGUCGGCCGUUCUGUGCUGGUGGCAACACAUGUGCAUGUCGGUCGCAAUCCACACACCUGUGCAUCUUUGACUCGAGCACCGUGAAGGGUCUUUGUUGACCUGGUACUCGGGUACUUUACACACUCUGAAUGUAAUGGAAUGUCACUGUACAAUGUACAACUAUAAACAACUUUCAACAACGGAUCUCUUGGCUCUCGCAUCGAUGAAGAACGCAGCGAAAUGCGAUAAGUAAUGUGAAUUGCAGAAUUCAGUGAAUCAUCGAAUCUUUGAACGCACCUUGCACCCUUUGGUAUUCCUAAGGGUACGCCCGUUUGAGUGUCAUUGUAAUCUCACUUCAACAUCUUUUUGUUUGAAUGUGGAACUGGAUGUUGCCGUGUAACUACGGCUCAUCUCAAAUGCCUGAGUGUACCCUGCUUUGCAGCGUAUUCAGUGUGAUAAUUCUUCACUGGUAGUGUCUCUUGUUAGACAGCGCUUGCUUGUGGGCUCUAUGCUACAAACCGUCUCUUGGGACAAUCUCUGACAAUUUGACCUCAAAUCGGGUGGGACUACCCGCUGAACUUAAGCAUAUCAAUAAGCGGAGGAAAAGAAACUAACAAGGAUUCCCCUAGUAACGGCGAGUGAAGAGGGAAAAGCUCAAAUUUUGAAUCUGGUGUCUUUGACUCCCGAGUUGUAAUCUAGAGAAGUGUUUUCCGUGUCGGACCGUGUACAAGUUCCCUGGAACGGGAUGUCAUAGAGGGUGAGAAUCCCGUAUAUGCCACGGACUACCGAUACUAUGUGAUACACUCUCAACGAGUCGAGUUGUUUGGGAAUGCAGCUCAAAAUGGGUGGUAAAUUCCAUCUAAAGCUAAAUAUUGGCGAGAGACCGAUAGCGAACAAGUACCGUGAGGGAAAGAUGAAAAGCACUUUGGAAAGAGAGUGAAACAGUACGUGAAAUUGUUGAAAGGGAAGCGUUUGAAGUCAGUCACAUCUGUUGGAAUUCAGCCUUGCUUCUGCUUGGUGUACUUUCUGGCUGAUGGGUCAGCAUCAAUUUCGACCGAGGGAAAAAGACAUUGGGAAUGUGGCUGUCUCGGCAGUGUUAUAGCCCGGUGUUGUAUGUCUCGGUUGGGAUUGAGGAACGCAGCGCGCCUUUUGGCCGGGGUUCGCGCCCUCGG
rnacentral:rRNA from 1 species